GGUAGAGGUGGAGGUGGAGAAAGGACGUUUCAAGGGUGAAGCUUCUUCAGUAAACACUGGGAAAGACAUAGAAGAACUAUUAAGAAGAUAGAAUUGUUUUGCUGCGCAGUACAGCAACAGUGGAUGUUCAAGAUUAAGAUUAGAGUCAAGUUGUGUGAUUAAGACAG
rnacentral:sRNA from 1 species